rnacentral:misc_RNA from 1 species
GAUGAAGAACGUAGCGAAAUGCGAUAAGUAAUGCGAAUUGCAGAAUUCAGUGAAUCAUCGAAUCUUUGAACGCACAUUGCGCCCGCCAGUAUUCUGGCGGGCAUGCCUGUCUGAGCGUCGUUUCGACCCUCGCGCCCGGCUUCUGUCGGGGGCGGUGUUGGGGAUCGGCCACACCCUUCAGUGGGAGGCCGGCCCCUAAAUUCAGUGGCGACCACGCUGUAGCCUCCCCUGCGUAGUACUAAAACCACCUCGCAGGCGGAGAGCGGUGCGGCCCGCCGUAAAACCCCCCAACUUUUACAAGGUCGACCUCAAAUCAGGUAGGAAUACCCGCUGAACUUAAGCAUAUCAAUAAGCGGAGGA